rnacentral:rRNA from 1 species
AAAAUUGGCGGUAUUUAAAACUAAUUAGGGGAAUUUGUUUUUUAAAUGAUAGUCCGCAAGAUACCUUACUUUAUUAAAAAAUUUAUUUAUUGUCGUUAUCAGAUUAUUUUUUAAGAAUUAAAAUUUUCUAAAAUAUUUAAUAAUAUUUAUUUCAGAUCUUUAUGUAGUUUAUAGUAAAGUAAAAAUGAAUUACAAUAAUUUAUAUUUAAAUGGAUAUUAAAAUGAAAUUUUUAAUUUAAAGUGGACUUAAUAGUAAUUAUAAAAAUUUUAUUAUUA